rnacentral:misc_RNA from 1 species
UGGCGCAAAAGGAUCGGUCCUUCACUUGCUGAUCGUUCGCGAGUUGAACUCGCUCUCUUGCCACGCCUUUCACUCACUCGCUUGAGUCGGACUCAAUCACUCGUUUGGAGGAUCAUUCGUUCUUCACUCUCUUGCCCCCGCAGGGAGCGCAGCAACCAAGGUGCAUAUUAUCAUAUAGAAACAAGCAAGCGUAGCGAAUCACAUAGAGUUGCCCCUACCUGCCAGCGCGCGGAUAGAUAGGGCGGGCGAAGCGCGAAGGGGAUGGAUGUCUGAGCGGUUGAAAGAGUCGGUCUUGAAAACCGAAGUAUUGAUAGGAAUACCGGGGGUUCGAAUCCCUCUCCAUCCGCGAAGUCAUAAGUUCUCUCUUGCGUUAUCUAUAGAUAAGAACGAAUCGGAUCGACUCGACUGAUAUGAUAGAUGGAAUGGGUAGCUUGUGUUAUGAUUUAGUUAGGACUUUGUCUCCCUUUCGUUAUCUUCUGCUCCCCUUGUAUAGGUUGGGGAAGGGCCGGGUGGAUUAUUACCUUUGGGAGCUAAGUCGAAGAUCUCGGUGGUCUUGUGAGUGGUUGAUAAACUACGAUUGCAGUUUUCUUUAGGAAGUCCCAUAGCUGUGAGGCUUAACAGACAAAGAAAACGGUGGAUACUUCCGGGUAGAAGGUGACGACCCUAAUGAAUCGACUAUGAAGAGAAGGGGAUUUGGUGUUGAAAAAGAUUAUCCCUAUUCAGAACGACCGUCGUGGAAAGUGGACCCCGAAUUUUGAAGGUCCGUACGUCGUUAAGAGAGCCUUUUCAGGGGGUGCCCUUAUUUUGACCAACAUGGAUGGAGAUGAACUACCAAACCCCGUGAACUCAGAUGCUGUGAAAAAGUAUUACGCUUGAAAUCCGUGUAUCUCAAUCAGUUGAAUUAAUGAAAACGGUUUUAUCCUUUUUCGCAACCCAUUUUAUUUUCAGAAAGACUGGGAGAGUCUCCUUCCGGAGGCAUUCUCAGCAGGCUAUUAGUUUAGCUCUGUAACAUAGAUACAAGAAUCUGAUUUUGGUGAAGCUGGAAAGGGCGUUUAAUUGUCCCAUAGGAAAGAAGGAAUAAAGGGAAAUAGCAAGAGCUCAUUCGGAUAAAAACCCGAAGAGGCGGUCUAGGUGAGAGCUAAAGCGUUGGGAAAAGGAUACCUUGCCGAGUCGAAAAACCCGAAAAAAAAAGCGCUUCGACCAAACUUGAGAGGUCGGUGAAGCAUCUCCUGGAGAACGAGUUCGAUCUCCCAUUGGUCUUUGGGAGCUAGCAUAUGGGGGCAAAGUUCGACACCACAUGGGAAAAAUCGACAGUAAUCCUGGCACAAGCUGCGCUAUACAUCGUUAGUAUCAUCGCUGGAAGAAAAAGGAAGUUAUUUUUUGAUUAUGUUACUGUUCGACUUUACAUCCUUUGUAUCUUUUGACAUUCCUAACCAUAACAUCAAAUAAACUCCAUGAAAGUUUUUUUUGCAUAAUAAA